rnacentral:rRNA from 1 species
GACGAACGCUGGCGGCGUGCUUAACACAUGCAAGUCGAACGGUGAAGCGCCUUCCUUUUUGGUGGGUGUGGAUGAGUGGCGAACGGGUGAGUAACACGUGAGUAACCUGCCCCCUUCUUCUGGAUAACCGCAUGAAAGUGUGGCUAAUACGGGAUAUUCUGGGUCUGUCGCAUGAUGGGUCUGGGAAAGAUAUUGUUUCGGUGGGGGAUGGGCUCGCGGCCUAUCAGCUUGUUGGUGGGGUGAUGGCCUACCAAGGCGGUGACGGGUAGCCGGCCUGAGAGGGUGGACGGUCACAAUGGGACUGAGACACGGCCCAGACUCCUACGGGAGGCAGCAGUGGGGAAGAUUGCACAAUGGGCGCAAGCCUGAUGCAGCGACGCCGCGUGAGGGAUGGAGGCCUUCGGGUUGUGAACCUCUUUCGCCAGUGAAGCAGGCCUGCCUCGUUUGUGGGUGGGUUGACGGUAGCUGGAUAAGAAGCGCCGGCUAACUACGU